rnacentral:rRNA from 1 species
CCUACGGGUGGCAGCAGUGAGGAAUAUUGGUCAAUGGGCGCGAGCCUGAACCAGCCAAGUAGCGUGAAGGAUGACUGCCCUACGGGUUGUAAACUUCUUUUAUAAAGGAAUAAAGUGCGGCACGUGUGCCUUUUUGUAUGUACUUUAUGAAUAAGGCUCGGCUAACUCCGUGCCAGCAGCCGCGGUAAUACGGAGGAUCCGAGCGUUAUCCGGAUUUAUUGGGUUGAAAGGGAGCGUAGAGGGGUUGUUAAGUCAGUUGUGAAAGUUUGCGGCUCAACCGUAAAAUUGCAAUUGAUACUGGAAGCCUGGAGUACAGUAGAGGUAGGCGGAAUUCGUGGUGUAGCGGUGAAAUGCGUAGAUAUCACGAAGAACUCCAAUUGCGAAGGCAGCUUACUAAACUGCAACUGACAUUGAUGCUCGAAAGUGUGGGUAUCAAACAGGAUUAGAUACCCUUGUAGUC